ensembl:miRNA MIR10A microRNA 10a
UACCCUGUAGAUCCGAAUUUGUGUAAGGAAUUUUGUGGUCACAAAUUCGUAUCUAGGGGAAUA